GGAAAAAGAAACAAAACUGACGGAGCCGUUCCGGUGGAGAACAGUGACUGGAUUUAACCUACAGUCUAUGGAUUUAACACCUUAAGAUGAUGCACAGCUCAUAUCUCUGUCGCUAAGAAAGCAGUUCAUACAGGUUUGGAUUGAGAAUGAUGUAAAGAAUCCCUAUCCCUACAGAUAUCCGUGGCUCCUGUUAUGUCCUGAGAUCCAUACACUUUGCAAAGUCUCGUCUGGCAACGCAACUUAAGGUCCAGCUAUCUCCAAUACCCAAGAGACUCUACCAAAAUCAUGGCAAGUAAAAAUGCCUCUGAUCU